UACGAACUGUGCAAACGUUAUUCGGAUUCACUGGGCUUAAAGGGUGCGUAGGCGGCCAUGUAAGUAGGGUGUGAAAUCCCCCGGCUUAACCGGGGAACUGCGCCCUAAACUGUGUGGCUUGAGUGAGAUAGGGGUGUGUGGAACUUCCGGUGGAGCGGUGAAAUGUGUUGAUAUCGGAAGGAACGCCGGUGGCGAAAGCGACACACUGGGGCUCAACUGACGCUGAGGCACGAAAGCCAGGGGAGCGAACGGG
rnacentral:rRNA from 1 species